AAGGAUUUAAGUUAAUAAAAACUUUUAACCUUCAAAGUUAAAAAUAGAUUCUAUCUAAGCCUUA
rnacentral:tRNA from 2 species